CCUACGGGAGGCUGCAGUGGGGGAUAUUGCACAAUGGGGGAAACCCUGAUGCAGCGACGCCGCGUGAGGGAGGACGUAUUUCGGUAUGUAAAGCUCUAUCAGCAGUGAAGAAAAUGACGGUAGCUGACUAAGAAGCCCCGGCUAACUACGUGCCAGCAGCCGCGGUAAUACGUAGGGGGCAAGCGUUAUCCGGAUUUACUGGGUGUAAAGGGUGCGUAGACGGCUAUGCAAGUCAGAAGUGAAAGCCCAGGGCUCAACCUUGGGACUGCUUUUGAAACUGAGUGGCUAGAGUGAAGGAGAGGUAAGCGGAAUUCCUAGUGUAGCGGUGAAAUGCGUAGAGAUUGGGAGGAACACCAGUGGCGAAGGCGGCUUACUGGGCUGUAACUGACGUUGAGGCACGAAAGCGUGGGGAGCAAACAGGAUUAGAUACCCUAGUAGUC
rnacentral:rRNA from 1 species